rnacentral:rRNA from 1 species
UACGUAGGGUGCGAGCGUUAAUCGGAAUUACUGGGCGUAAAGCGUGCGCAGGCGGUUCGUGAUGUCUGAUGUGAAAGCCCCGGGCUCAACCUGGGAACUGCAUUGGAAACUAGCGGGCUGGAGUGUGGCAGAGGGGGGGUGGAAUUCCACGUGUAGCAGUGAAAUGCGUAGAGAUGUGGAGGAACACCGAUGGCGAAGGCAGCCCCCUGGGCUAACACUGACGCUCAUGCACGAAAGCGUGGGGAGCAAACAGG